CGCCAUCUUGGCUGGUUGUGUCUGGCUUCAAGCGCGCUGAACAGAUCCGGAAACCUCUGUCCGAGAUAAACUGACAGUUUUAAAAGCAUGGGUCAACUUCUCCGAAGCAAGUUGGAACAUCUUGUCUGGCUCAUA